rnacentral:misc_RNA from 1 species
AACAAGGCGUACCUGCGGACCUGCGGAAGGAUCAUUACCGCUGCGUCUUUGGCGCAGAACGACGGGGUUAGUAGCUUGUGGAUGAAAAUAAGCUUGCUACGCUGUAAACCCCCGGUUUCAUCCUUGUCUUUUAUGUACCCAAGUUUCCUCGGCGGGUGUGAUAACCUCACUCCGCCGAAUGGACACACCAAUAAACCUUUUAAAUGCAAUUGCAGUCAGUAUCUGAAUAAAUAUAUAAUA